rnacentral:rRNA from 1 species
GAUGAACGCUGGCGGCGUGCCUAAUACAUGCAAGUCGAACGAGGUGCUUUUGUAGCAAUACGAGAGUAUCCUAGUGGCGAACGGGUGAGUAACGCGUGGAUGACCUGCCCCAAAGUGUGGGAUAACAGUCCGAAAGGAUUGCUAAUACCUCAUGUGGUUAUCGGUUUUAGAAAGCGAUAACUAAAGCAGCAAUGCGCUUUGGGAGGGAUCUGCGUCCCAUCAGCUAGUUGGUGAGGUAACGGCUCACCAGGGCGACGACGGGUAGGGGUCCUGAGAGGGUGGCCCCCCACAAUGGAACUGAAACACGGUCCAUACACCUACGGGUGGCAGCAGUAGGGAAUAUUGCUCAAUGGGCGAAAGCCUGAAGCAGCAACGCCGCGUGUGCGAUGAAGGCCUUCGGGUCGUAAAGCACUUUUCUACGAGAUGAGAAAGGACAGUAUCGUAGGAAUAAGUCUCGGCUAACUACGUGCCAGCCGCCGCGGUAACAC